AGAGUUUGAUCAUGGCUCAGAUUGAACGCUGGCGGCAGGCCUAACACAUGCAAGUCGAGCGGUAGCACAGAGAGCUUGCUCUCGGGUGACGAGCGGCGGACGGGUGAGUAAUGUCUGGGAAACUGCCUGAUGGAGGGGGAUAACUACUGGAAACGGUAGCUAAUACCGCAUAAUGUCGCAAGACCAAAGUGGGGGACCUUCGGGCCUCAUGCCAUCAGAUGUGCCCAGAUGGGAUUAGCUAGUAGGUGGGGUAACGGCUCACCUAGGCGACGAUCCCUAGCUGGUCUGAGAGGAUGACCAGCCACACUGGAACUGAGACACGGUCCAGACUCCUACGGGAGGCAGCAGUGGGGAAUAUUGCACAAUGGGCGCAAGCCUGAUGCAGCCAUGCCGCGUGUGUGAAGAAGGCCUUCGGGUUGUAAAGCACUUUCAGCGGGGAGGAAGGCGUUAAGGUUAAUAACCUUGGCGAUUGACGUUACCCGCAGAAGAAGCACCGGCUAACUCCGUGCCAGCAGCCGCGGUAAUACGGAGGGUGCAAGCGUUAAUCGGAAUUACUGGGCGUAAAGCGCACGCAGGCGGUCUGUCAAGUCGGAUGUGAAAUCCCCGGGCUCAACCUGGGAACUGCAUUCGAAACUGGCAGGCUAGAGUCUUGUAGAGGGGGGUAGAAUUCCAGGUGUAGCGGUGAAAUGCGUAGAGAUCUGGAGGAAUACCGGUGGCGAAGGCGGCCCCCUGGACAAAGACUGACGCUCAGGUGCGAAAGCGUGGGGAGCAAACAGGAUUAGAUACCCUGGUAGUCCACGCCGUAAACGAUGUCGAUUUGGAGGUUGUGCCCUUGAGGCGUGGCUUCCGGAGCUAACGCGUUAAAUCGACCGCCUGGGGAGUACGGCCGCAAGGUUAAAACUCAAAUGAAUUGACGGGGGCCCGCACAAGCGGUGGAGCAUGUGGUUUAAUUCGAUGCAACGCGAAGAACCUUACCUGGUCUUGACAUCCACAGAACUUUGCAGAGAUGGUUUGGUGCCUUCGGGAACUGUGAGACAGGUGCUGCAUGGCUGUCGUCAGCUCGUGUUGUGAAAUGUUGGGUUAAGUCCCGCAACGAGCGCAACCCUUAUCCUUUGUUGCCAGCGGUCCGGCCGGGAACUCAAAGGAGACUGCCAGUGAUAAACUGGAGGAAGGUGGGGAUGACGUCAAGUCAUCAUGGCCCUUACGACCAGGGCUACACACGUGCUACAAUGGCAUAUACAAAGAGAAGCGACCUCGCGAGAGCAAGCGGACCUCAUAAAGUAUGUCGUAGUCCGGAUUGGAGUCUGCAACUCGACUCCAUGAAGUCGGAAUCGCUAGUAAUCGUAGAUCAGAAUGCUACGGUGAAUACGUUCCCGGGCCUUGUACACACCGCCCGUCACACCAUGGGAGUGGGUUGCAAAAGAAGUAGGUAGCUUAACCUUCGGGAGGGCGCUUACCACUUUGUGAUUCAUGACUGGGGUGAAGUCGUAACAAGGUAACCGUAGGGGAACCUGCGGUUGGAUCACCU
rnacentral:rRNA from 1 species